UCUCAGUUCGGAUUGUAGUCUGCAACUCGACUACAUGAAGCUGGAAUCGCUAGUAAUCGUAGAUCAGCAUGCUACGGUGAAUACGUUCCCGGGUCUUGUACACACCGCCCGUCACACCACGAGAGUUUGUAACACCCGAAGCCGGUGGAGUAACCAUUUUGGAGCUAGCCGUCGAAGGUGGGACAAAUGAUUGGGGUGAAGUCGUAACAAGGUAGCCGUAUCGGAAGGUGCGGCUGGAUCACCUCCUUU
rnacentral:rRNA from 1 species